rnacentral:rRNA from 1 species
GACGAACGCUGGCGGCGUACUUAACGCAUGCAAGUCGAACGGUGAAGCGCCUUCCUUUUUGGUGGGUGGGGAUGAGUGGCGAACGGGGGAGUAACACGUGAGUAACCUGCCCCCUUCUUCUGGAUAACCGCAUGAAAGUGUGGCUAAUACGGGAUAUUCUGGGUCUGUCGCAUGACGGGUCUGGGAAAGUUAUUGUUUCGGUGGGGGAUGGGCUCGCGGCCUAUCAGCUUGUUGGUGGGGUGAUGGCCUACCAAGGCGGUGACGGGUAGCCGGCCUGAGAGGGUGGACGGUCACACUGGGACUGAGACACGGCCCAGACUCCUACGGGAGGCAGCAGGGGGGAAUAGUGCACAAUGGGCGCAAGCCUGAUGCAGCGACGCCGCGUGAGGGAUGGAGGCCUUCGGGUUGUGAACCUCUUUCGCCAGUGAAGCAGGCCUGCCUCGUUUGUGGGUGGGUUGACGGUAGCUGGAUAAGAAGCGCCGGCUAACUACGUG